GUUUCUAAACAUCAUGAUGCUCACCGUCUGCUUGUGUUUGUUCAUCGGUGUUUGCCUGGGUGUGGAGGUCCACCAAAGUCCACCACAACUCUUGGUGAAAGUGGGGGAGGAAGCCCAGCUGGUCUGCAGCCAUCAAAGAGGAGACUACAGGGUGAUGCAGUGGUACCAACAGUCCCCGGGAGAGUCGGCGCUCAAACGCAUCGGCCACUUGUCUUAUGAUGAUAAAGAAUAUGAAGACCCUUUUAAAGAUCACUUUCGUUUCGUCGGAGAUCUGAGUGGAAGCUCCAACAAGAAUGCCUCCAUGUUUAUCACAAAAAUAAAGCCAGAGCACAGUGCAGUUUACUACUGUGCAGCGAGCUAUGCACAGCGAUCACAAACGCUCCCUCACACGUUCAAUAACACCCUCCCCUUCUUUAUUGGGGUCGUAUUUGUUGCUUUAUAUCUUCAUCACUUCCGGUUCAAACCAGUUGUUUCUAACAGUCAGUACCAGCGACGACAGUGUCACAUUAGAGGUCGUAGUAAAAUGAUCUCACUCACCUUCUUCAGCUUUUUGACAGGUGCUUGUCUGAGCCUGGAGGUCCGUCAGACUCCUGAAGAAAUCCUCAUAAAACCUGGAGGCCGAGCCGAGAUGGUCUGCCAACACAGCAGAACCGACUACAGACAGAUGCUCUGGUACAAGUACUCCACUGAGAACAACCUCAUGGAUCUGAUUGGAAACCUUUAUAACAGCGAUGCCACAAUGGAGGAGCCGUUAGGUCGAGAUUUUAAAAUAUCAGGAGAUCUCACUGGAAAUACAGCAAAGAAGAGCACUCUGGUUAUAGAAGAUGCCGGACUGAAGCACAGUGCUAUUUACUUCUGUGCAGCCAGAGAAGCACUGUGACAAAAAUCAGCUCUUUACUUCACAAAAACUCUGAGGAAUGUUUAAUUGAGCGCAAAACAGUUUCCGUUACACCUGUGUCUGUGGUUUGUUUUACCAAGUUUUGUCCAUGAUGGGACAGAAAGAGACUAUUUUAAUAAAAAUAUCAAAGAUAGAGGUAAUACCACAAAGUACAAUAUACAAAUUAUGUAUGUGAAAAUAACUCCAAGAAAUGAAAUACUGUGAUGAACAACUAAAAACUCACUUCCUGUCACUGGUCAUGUGACCACAUGGUUUUAAUCUGAAGGCUCGUGCAGCUCUGCAAACACAUCUACAUCAUGAUCGUUCAGACCCUGUGUUUGCUGGUCCUCCUCCACUCUGGUGUGUGAACAUCUGAUCGUCCUCAAGUUCAUGAAGCUAAAAGGUGAAAGAUUGAACUUGUUUUCUGUUCUGCAGGUUUCAGCGUCACUGUUCUCCAGUCACAGGAUCAAACAAACUGUCUCUGGAGACCAAAUGCAGGACCUUGUGGAUGGAAACAACCUAAAGAAGGGAAACAUGGAUUCUACUCUCGAUCGCAGGAAUAAUAUUUGGACUCUUCAGAUCAAUACAGUGACCCUCAAAGACA